GAGUUUUGGCAACACAUGGUUUAAAAUUGAUAUGAUACUGAAAAGAUUAGCAAAGUUCCUGAGCAAGAAUGAUGUACAGAUUCAUGACGUGGUCAAUAUUUAA